UUCUUCAAAAUCUCUCCUCUUCUCACACGCAGCAUCACCUUCCCCUAAACCUAAAACUCACCCUUUUCUUCCCCCAAAAUCAAAACCCAAAACUCAGAUUCUCCCACCACCGCCGCCGCCUCCACGGAUUGCCGCCACCACGGGUCACCGCCACUGCAUCUUUUGGUUUUCCUCUCCCUAUUAUGCAACUCAUUCUCUACAUUGAAAAUCAAAAUCCAUACCGAAUGCCUAGAGACUAGCUUUGGAACUGAUAAACCUUCUAUUGGAAUUUCAAAAAGUGGAGGGAAUUAAUAAAUCUCAUAAUGAGUAUUGGGCGAUCUCAAUCUAACCUUCUAUUGGAAUUUCAAAAAGUGGAGGGAAUUAAUAAAUCUCAUAAUGAGUAUUGGGCGAUCUCAAUCUCAUGAUUUAAGUAUAGGUGAGAUCUUCAUUUCCUUGAUUAACAUUUACUUCUCACACAAGUCCAAAGUAUACCAGUUGUCAAGGAUAAACUUUCUAAGUGCUUUCCAUCCAUCAUGGGUCAAUCUAACUUCAGUAAAGAUUAUCAUAAUAGUGUUAUGGUGAGACUAUCUGGGAAGGGUUGAGUUGUGAUAUUAAUUUGUAAUAUAAUGUUGUAGCACUAUUGCAAGAUGGAUUGGGUCACAUCACAAAUGGUUUCAGAAAUUUAUCCAAAAAAUUGAAUGAUGCUGUCCAAUGGUGUGCACAAUGCUAUACAAUAUAUACAAUGUAGCAGCAGAUAAAGUUGAUUGUGAUAGUACAAGGCCACAAGCUGAAGAUGUCUACUUGGCAAAGAAUAAAAGGUUGAAGGAAAGGGA